ACUUGGUGGUGAGGGCAUUUAUGCAAAAGGUCCCUAAAGCGCUCCUAUGUCUCAAAAAAGUGUUCCUCAUCCAAUUGGGAAAAACUAGUGAUAGUCUUCCUCAGCU